UUGGUCUGAGGGACGGGUGCUCAGUGCUCAUCUUGGACAGCCACGACCAGAGCUUUGUGAACAUUUCCAGUGGCAAUCUGACAGCCUUUACCUGUGACAUCAGCUGGCUCCAAGUGAAGAACUUCUGUGGGACAGAAGAUGACGAGAACCAAGUUAAAAUUACUGCCACUAUUGAAACAGUGAUGUCAGAUAUCAAAAUGAAAGCAAUAAGGGAGCUUCACCUGGAGGAGGAACUUGCAAAUGAGAGCUGUCUUAGACCUGUUAGUGGGAAUGGGAAACUUUUGUCUCCAGUGCCUGAGGAUUACACUGUCAAGGAAGCAGAACUGAAGAUGGGAAGCUUGCUUGGGUUGUGCCAUGGGAAAGCUCCAACUUCCACUCAGGUAGAGCUGUGAGGGAAAGUGUCUU